UGGGGAAUAUUGCACAAUGGAGGGAACUCUGAUGCAGCGACGCCGCGUGAACGAAGAAGGCUUUCGAGUCGUAAAGUUCUUUUAUAUGGGAAGAUAAUGACGGUACCAUAAGAAAAAGCCCCGGCUAACUACGUGCCAGCAGCCGCGGUAAUACGUAGGGGGCUAGCGUUGUCCGGAAUCACUGGGCGUAAAGGGUUCGCAGGCGGAAAUGCAAGUCAGGUGUAAAAGGCAGUAGCUUAACUACUGUAAGCAUUUGAAACUGCAUAUCUUGAGAAGAGUAGAGGUAAGGGGAAUUUUUGGUGUGGCGGUGAAAUGCGUAGAUAUUAAAAAGAAUACCGGUGGCGAAGGCGACUUACUGGGCUCAUUCUGACGCUGAGGAACGAAAGCGUGGGUAGCAAACAGG
rnacentral:rRNA from 1 species